GACGAACGCUGGCGGCGUGCUUAACACAUGCAAGUCGAACGGAAAGGCCCUGCUUGCAGGGUACUCGAGUGGCGAACGGGUGAGUAACACGUGGGUGAUCUGCCCUGCACUUCGGGAUAAGCCUGGGAAACUGGGUCUAAUACCGGAUAGGAGCCAGUUUUAGUGUGAUGGUUGGAAAGUUUUUUCGCGGUAGGAUGAGCUCGCGGCCUAUCAGCUUGUUGGUGGGGUAAUGGCCUACAAAGGCGGCGACGGGUAGCCGGCCUGGGAGGGUGGACGGCAACAUUGGGACUGAGAUACGGCCCAGACUCCUACGGGAGGCAGCAGUGGGGAAUAUUGCACAAUGGGCGCAAGCCUGAUGCAGCGACGCCGCGGGGGGGAUGACGGCCUUCGGGUUGUAAACUCCUUUCGCUAGGGACGAAGCUUUUUGUGACGGUACCUAGAUAAGAAGCACCGGCUAACUACGUG
rnacentral:rRNA from 1 species